GGGUCUGUAGCUCAGUUGGUUAGAGCGCACCUCGAUAAGCGUGAGGUCGGCGUACGUCAGUUGGUUAGAGCGCCUCCUGAUAAGGGUGGCGUUUGGCAGUUCGAAUCUGCCCAGACCCACCA
rnacentral:tRNA from 1 species